rnacentral:rRNA from 1 species
AGCGAACGCUGGCGGCAGGCUUAACACAUGCAAGUCGAACGGGCAUAGCAAUAUGUCAGUGGCAGACGGGUGAGUAACGCGUGGGAACGUACCUUUUGGUUCGGAACAACACAGGGAAACUUGUGCUAAUACCGGAUAAGCCCUUACGGGGAAAGAUUUAUCGCCGAAAGAUCGGCCCGCGUCUGAUUAGCUAGUUGGUAGGGUAAUGGCCUACCAAGGCGACGAUCAGUAGCUGGUCUGAGAGGAUGAUCAGCCACAUUGGGACUGAGACACGGCCCAAACUCCUGCGGGAGGCAGCAGUGGGGAAUAUUGGGCAAUGGGCGAAAGCCUGAUCCAGCCAUGCCGCGUGAGUGAUGAAGGCCCUAGGGUUGUAAAGCUCUUUUGUGCGGGAAGAUAAUGACGGUACCGAAAGAAUAAGCCCCGGCUAACUUCGUG